GUGGGUAUAGCUCAGUGGUAGAGCACGUGCUUAGCAUGUGUGAGUUCCUGGGUUCAAUCCCCCGUACCUAAU
rnacentral:tRNA from 1 species